rnacentral:rRNA from 1 species
AACGAACGCUGGCGGCAGGCCUAACACAUGCAAGUCGAGCGAGGUAGCAAUACCUAGCGGCGGACGGGUGAGUAACGCGUGGGAACGUACCCUUUGCUACGGAAUAGCCCCGGGAAACUGGGAGUAAUACCGUAUGUGCCCUUCGGGGGAAAGAUUUAUCGGCAAAGGAUCGGCCCGCGUUUGGAUUAGGUAGUUGGUGGGGUAAUGGCCUACCAAGCCGACGAUCCAUAGCUGGUUUGAGAGGAUGAUCAGCCACACUGGGACUGAGACACGGCCCAGACUCCUACGGGAGGCAGCAGUGGGGAAUCUUAGACAAUGGGCGCAAGCCUGAUCUAGCCAUGCCGCGUGAGUGAUGAAGGCCUUAGGGUUGUAAAGAUCUUUCAGAUGGGAAGAUAAUGACGGUACCAUCAGAAGAAGCCCCGGCUAACUCCGUG